rnacentral:piRNA from 1 species
UCUCGAUCUUGAAAGAAGAACCCACCAUGU